rnacentral:rRNA from 1 species
AUGAAGGCGAUGAUACUACGCCGCCGCGGCGCCGGCGGCGGGCUGCGCAUCACGAGGAAGGGCCGCGGCUUCAUGUGCGGCUGCGGCGGCUCAAAGGCCGUCUCCGUCUCCGACGGCUCCGACAAGCAGUCCCCCAUGGCCACGCCGCCCACCAACACGUCGACCGCCACCACUGCCACCACCAUGUCCACGGUCACCACCACGGCGACGAGGAGGGCAGGGAACAGCAGGGCGGCGUCGUUGAUCUCCACCGCGGCGGCGUCCUCCUCGUUCUCACCCUCGUCGACGGACGAGGCCGACACCAGCGUGGGGAGCACCCCCAGCGUCGCCGCGCUCCUGCGGCAGCUCGGCGAGCUCGAGCGCACCGUCCGCUCCCUGCAGGGCGCCGGCGCCGAAGGCGUCGGCGACGGGAGGCGGCACAGGCGCACCUCCAGCGAGGGCGGCGGCAGGAGGGUGGAGGAGAGCGUGGCCGUGGUGAAGGAGUCGGCCGACCCGCUGGCCGACUUCCGGCGGUCGAUGCUGCAGAUGAUCGUGGAGAAGGAGAUCGUGGGCGGCGCCGACCUGCGGGAGCUCCUCCACCGGUUCCUGUCCCUCAACGCGCCGCACCACCACCACCUCAUCCUCCGGGCCUUCGCCGAGAUCUGGGAGGAGGUCUUCUCCGGCUACGAGCGCACCCCGGACUUCCUCGUCUCCCACUCCCACGGCAGGAAAAGGCUCCCCGCAGCGAAUUCCCUCCGCUGA